AGACAGAGGUAAGCGAACUGAUGGUGGAGCGUGAAAUGCGUUGAUAUCAUCAGGAACACCAGUGGCGAGAGCGGCUUACUGGGUCUCUUCUGACGCUGAGGUACGAAAGCUAGGGGAGCGAAGGGGAUUAGAUACCCCCGUAGUCCUAGCCGUAAACUCUGUGCACUUGAUCGAGGGCCCCCCCAUAGGCUCUCGGUCGUAGCGAAAGUGUUAAGUGCACCGCCUGGGGAGUAUGGUCGCAAGGCUGAAACUCAAAGAAAUUGACGGGGGCUCACACAAGCGGUGGAGGAUGUGGCUUAAUUCGAGGCUACGCGAAGAACCUUAUCCUAGUCUUGACAUGCACGGAUCAACCCGGUGAAAGCCGGGCCACGCCUUCGGGUGGAACGUGCACAGGUGCUGCAUGGCUGUCGUCAGCUCGUGUCGUGAGAUGUCGGGUUAAGUCCCUUAACGAGCGAAACCCUUGUCGCUAGUUGCCAGCGAGUCAUGUCGGGGACUCUAGCGAGACCGCCGGUGUUAAACCGGAGGAAGGUGGGGAUGACGUCAAGUCCUCAUGGCCUUUAUGACUAGGGCUGCACACGUCCUACAAUGCUGCGUACAAAGGGAAGCAAGCUCGCGAGAGUAAGCAAAUCCCAAAAAACGCAGCUCAGUUCGGAUUGCAGGCUGAAACCCGCCUGCAUGAAGCUGGAAUCGCUAGUAAUCGUGGGUCAGCAUACCACGGUGAAUGUGUUCCUGAGCCUUGUACACACCGCCCGUCAAGCCACGAAAGUGGGAGGCGCUUAAGCCGCUGCGCUAACCGUAAG
rnacentral:rRNA from 1 species